rnacentral:rRNA from 1 species
UACAGAGGGUGCGAGCGUUAAUCGGAAUUACUGGGCGUAAAGCGCGCGUAGGCGGCUUUGCAAGUCGGGUGUGAAAUCCCCAGGCUUAACCUGGGAACUGCAUUCGAGACUGCAUAGCUAGGAUGCGGAAGAGGGAAGUGGAAUUUCCGGUGUAGCGGUGAAAUGCGUAGAUAUCGGAAGGAACAUCAGUGGCGAAGGCGGCAUCCUGGACCGAUACUGACGCUGAGGAGCGAAAGCCAGGGGAGCAAACGGG